GCCGUAAACGAUGAGUGCUAGGUGUUAGGGGUUUCGAUACCCUUAGUGCCGAAGUUAACACAUUAAGCACUCCGCCUGGGGAGUACGGCCGCAAGGCUGAAACUCAAAGGAAUUGACGGGGGCCCGCACAAGCAGUGGAGCAUGUGGUUUAAUUCGAAGCAACGCGAAGAACCUUACCAGGUCUUGACAUCCUCUGACACCUCUGGAGACAGAGCGUUCCCCUUCGGGGGACAGAGUGACAGGUGGUGCAUGGUUGUCGUCAGCUCGUGUCGUGAGAUGUUGGGUUAAGUCCCGCAACGAGCGCAACCCUUGAUCUUAGUUGCCAGCAUUCAGUUGGGCACUCUAAGGUGACUG
rnacentral:rRNA from 5 species